CGUUAUGAGGAUGAUGAAGAAUGUACUUAUCAAUGCCUCUCAUAUCAAACAUUUCUUGUCGAAACAGUUCACCUCCGACAAACCAUAUACUACUCAAGAAAUUGACGAAGUUAGAGAAGAAUGGGCAAUGUAAUUUUUACAAUUGGUUAGAGCAAAAUGAAUGAUGUUAUAGCUAGCUAAUUACAAUACAUGUUUAGAAAUUUUAAAUUUAUUUCGUAAAAUUUUUUUGCCAUUU